rnacentral:rRNA from 1 species
CCUACGGGUGGCAGCAGUAGGGAAUUUUCGGCAAUGGGGGGAACCCUGACGCAGCGACGCCGCGUGAGGGAUGAAGGUCUUCGGAUCGUAAACCUCUGUCAGCAGGGAAGAACGGUCACUGUGCUAAUCAGCAGUGAAUUGACGGUACCUGCAAAGGAAGCACCGGCUAACUCCGUGCCAGCAGCCGCGGUAAUACGGAGGGUGCGAGCGUUAAUCGGAAUUACUGGGCGUAAAGCGCUCGUAGGCGGUAUGUCAAGUCAAGGGGGAAAUCCCCGCGCUCAACGUGGGAACUGCCUUUGAAACUGGCAAACUGGAGUGUGUGAGAGGAUAGUGGAAUUCCAGGUGUAGGAGUGAAAUCCGUAGAUAUCUGGAGGAACAUCAGUGGCGAAGGCGACUAUCUGGCACAUAACUGACGCUGAGGAGCGAAAGCGUGGGUAGCAAACAGGAUUAGAUACCCGGGUAGUC